rnacentral:rRNA from 1 species
GAUUCCCUUAGUAACGGCGAGCGAAAAGGGAAAAGUCCAGCGCCAAGUCUUGACGCCUCGAUGUGUUCAAGAGAUGCGGCGUUAAUGUGUUGGCGCAUCGUGCAUUGCUCCGCGUUUCAAGUUCCUUUGACAGGGACCCCCAGAGUGGGUGCUAGGCCCAUAGAAAUGAGGAGCUGAUGUACGCAGGCCAAUGCAUUCUAGAGUCAGGUUGCUUGAGAGUGCAGCCUAAAGUCGGUGGUAAACUCCAUCCAAGACUAAAUAUGACAGCGAGACCGAUAGCAAACAAGUACCUUGAGGGAAAGUUGCAAAGCACUUUGAAGAGAGAGUUCAAUAGUACGUGAAACCACUGGGAGGCAAACAGAUGGAACCACGAAGUGUGCGCCCCGGUCGAUUCAAUCACCACUGCCGGUUGGCUGUGUUUGYCAUGGAUCUUUCAGGAGAUUGGRCAAACGCCGUCUGCAACCGGUGGUGUUGGUGCAUUUCGUUCCGGGGAUGCUAAGCCACGUUCGACUAGAGCUGGGACGGCCGUAGGACAGGGUCCAGGAAAGGUGCCCGUCAAGUGCUUGCAUUUGACGGCGUUAUAGUCUUGGAUCGGUACCGUCGCCUAGCAAACUGGUCGAUGCAAGUACUCCGUUUGGAGUGAAGGCGCGUUUGCCUCCGAUCAUUAGCAGGUGUUUCGCGGCGUUCUUUACGUAUCUUGCGGUGCGAAAAGGCGCUGCAACAAUGCCUGUUAGUGGUUGGUUGCGUAACGCGGCAGAACUGUGGCGYGAGUAGGUCGGUCUCCAUCUGACCCGUCUUGAAACACGGACCAAGGAGCCUAACAUGUACGCGAGUCGCUCGGUCUUGAAUAGGCCCGGGAGGCGAAAUGAAAGUAAAGCUACGAGGCCGUAACUGGUCGCAGUAGUGGCUCGCCCACUUCGUUUAUUGGCGAUCUGGCGAAGCUGGAGCGUAUACGUUGGUACCCGAAAGAUGGUGAACUAUGCCUGGGCAAGACGAAGCCAGAGGAAACUCUGGUGGAGGUCUGUAGCGAUUCUGACGUGCAAAUCGAUCGUCAGACCUGGGUAUAGGGGCGAAAGACUAAUCGAACCAUCUAGUAGCUGGUUCCCUCCGAAGUUUCCCUCAGGAUAGCAGGCGCUUGUUGUCAGUCUCAUCCGGUAAAGCUAAUGAUUAGAGGUCUUGGGGUUGAAACGACCUCAACCUAUUCUCAAACUUUAAAUGGGUGAGAUGGUUGACUUUCUUGAUUGAAGCCAACCAUUUUGGAUGUAAGUGCCUAGUGGGCCAGCUUUGGUAAGCAGAACUGGCGCUGUGGGAUGAACCAAACGUCGAGAUAAGGCAUCAAAUGCGUACGCUCAUCAGACCCCAUGAAAGGUGUUGGUUGCUAUAGACAGCAGGACGGUGGCCAUGGAAGUCGGAAUCC